UGAGGAAUAUUGGUCAAUGGACGCAAGUCUGAACCAGCCAAGUAGCGUGCAGGAUGACGGCCCUAUGGGUUGUAAACUGCUUUUAUAUGGGGAUAAAGUGGGGAACGUGUUCCCUUUUGCAGGUACCAUAUGAAUAAGGACCGGCUAAUUCCGUGCCAGCAGCCGCGGUAAUACGGAAGGUUCGGGCGUUAUCCGGAUUUAUUGGGUUUAAAGGGAGCGUAGGCCGUUUGGUAAGCGUGUUGUGAAAUGUAGGAGCUCAACUUCUAGAUUGCAGCGCGAACUGCCAGACUUGAGUGCGCACAACGUAGGCGGAAUUCAUGGUGUAGCGGUGAAAUGCUUAGAUAUCAUGAAGAACUCCGAUUGCGAAGGCAGCUUACGGGAGCGCAACUGACGCUGAAGCUCGAAGGUGCGGGUAUCGAACAGG
rnacentral:rRNA from 1 species